AGCUCCUGAGUAGCUGGGACUACAGGAAGAAGCCACCAUGCCUGGCUAAUUUUUUUAAGUUUUUUGUAGAGACGGGCAUCUCACUAGGUUGCCCAGGCUGGUCUCAAACUCCUGGGUUCAAGCAGUCCUCUCUCCUCGGCCUCCCAAAGUGUUGGCAUGACAGGCAUGAGCCGCUACACCCGACCUAUAAUUCUGGCUAUAUCAUUCCUUGGUCAACCACCUUCAAUGGCGCCCUCCUGCCUACUGAAAGAAAACAUGGUGUCGACUCCCAAGAUGGACUCAAUGGACGUGUCACUUGCCAGAACUUCAAUCUUGAAUUCAUCCAUCACAUAUUUCCAGAACUGGGAGGACUUGAUGCUGAAGGGGUCAAAGCAUUUUUUUUUCCUGUCUUCGAGCACAGGGCAUCACCUCCCUCUCGGGCUGGGCACUGCCACACCGCAGCCGGACCUGCUUUGUACUCACUAUGGUUCCUCUAGCAGUAAGACAUCGGAGUACCCGGCACACGGAAGAGACAGGAGAGCUUGCUGUCUCUCUCUCUGCUCUCCACCAUGGGAGGAUAAGAGAAGGUGCCAUCUGUGAACCAGGAAGUGGCCCUUGCCGGACGCCAGAUCUGCCAGCACCUUGAUUUGGACUUCCCAGCCUCCAGAGCUGUGAGAAAUAGAUGUUUGUUGGUGAAGCCCCCCAGCCUAUGGCAAUUUGUUACAACCAUCCAAGCUGGCUUGGGCACGGGCUUUGCCUGUCUUCACUCCCCAGCAAGUCUUCCUCAAUUCAUUGCCAAAGCAUAUUUUGAGUCAUGGGUUGUUUGAAAAGACCUACUUGGUAACAUCUACCCUUCCAACAAACAAGGUUUUAUUUGAUAUGUAUUUGCUCUACCUGACCAAAAAUCAAUCACCAUGGUAAACAUUUUAAAGGUUACUUGGACUCUUCCCUUGAUCUAACUGGGAAACAAAAGAGACACAACAAAUAUGCCCACUGAAGCCAUUAUUUCACAAGUUUCAGUCUUCACGCCUUCUCCAAAUAUGUGCAGACAUGCACUAUCACUGGCUGAAUACAUUUCUUUAUCUCUAACACUUCUUUACUGGAAAUUAGCUUUGAGAAGACUACGUAAGAACCCAGUACAGUAUGGAAAAGAAAGAGAGCUUGGCAUAGGUGAAAGAUAACCAUAAAAAGACAACAGAAUGAGAGUGAACAAGUGCAUGCACAACCACACCCCCUCAACACACAUACACACACACGUGCCAGAAAUGUACCUUUGGUAUUUCUGAGGA